rnacentral:rRNA from 1 species
GACGAACGCUGGCGGCGUGCCUAAUACAUGCAAGUCGAGCGAAGUUUUUCUGGUGCUUGCACCGGAAAAACUUAGCGGCGAACGGGUGAGUAACACGUAAAGAACCUGCCUCAUAGACUGGGACAACUAUUGGAAACGAUAGCUAAUACCGGAUAAUAGCAUUAACUGCAUGGUUGAUGUUUAAAAGUUGGUUUUGCUAACACUAUGAGAUGGCUUUGCGGUGCAUUAGCUAGUUGGUGGGGUAAAGGCCUACCAAGGCGACGAUGCAUAGCCGACCUGAGAGGGUGAUCGGCCACACUGGGACUGAGACACGGCCCAGACUCCUACGGGAGGCAGCAGUAGGGAAUCUUCCGCAAUGGGCGAAAGCAUGACGGAGCAACGCCGCGUGAGUGAAGAAGGAUUUCGGUUCGUAAAGCUCUGUUGUUAGGGAAGAAUGAUUGUGUAGUAACUAUACACAGUAGAGACGGUACCUAACCAGAAAGCAACGGCUAACUACGUG